AGCAGCCGCGGUAAUUCCAGCUCCAAUAGCGUAUAUUAAAGUUGUUGCAGUUAAAAAGCUCGUAGUUGAAUUUCGGGAUCAAUAUAUCGGUCGUGCCUUCGGUACGUACUGGUAUCGUUGAUUUCUACCUUCUGACGAACCAUGAUGUCAUUAAUUUGGUGUCAUGGGAAAUCAGGACUGUUACUUUGAAAAAAUUAGAGUGUUUAAAGCAGGCACACGCUUGAAUACAUUAGCAUGGAAUAAUGAAAUAGGACGUUUGACCCUAUUUUGUUGGUUUCUAGGAUUGACGUAAUGAUUAAUAGGGAUAGUUGGGGGCAUUAGUAUUCAAUUGUCAGAGGUGAAAUUCUUGGAUUUAUUGAAGACUAACUACUGCGAAAGCAUUUGCCAAGGAUGUUUUCAUUAAUCAAGAACGAAAGUUAGGGGAUCGAAGACGAUCAGAUACCGUCGUAGUCUUAACCAUAAACUAUGCCGACUAGGGAUCGGAUGAUGUAAUUUUUAAUGA
rnacentral:rRNA from 1 species